AUGGAGAGGGAACUUCAUGAUUGCUGCAUGGUCGUCUUCGUGCCAGGCGCGGAUGAAGAACUUGGCGCCAUCCACCUUGAAGAUGUUGCACCUCACCGCGUUGUCGCGGUGCGCCGGCAGGUCGAAGUGGACGAGGAAAGCCUCAGGGUGGUGGGUGGUGACGCGCAGCUAGUACGGAGGCGUGCUGAGCUGCUCUUCAGUGGCCUUGCUCACCGCCAUGGGAUUGGUGGUGUGGACCCUGUGGACAGCCCUGAGGGUGAUCUCGUGCUGGCGCAGGAUGAACUCCUCAUGCUCCAGCGCCGGUGA
rnacentral:rRNA from 1 species